rnacentral:tRNA from 1 species
GGGGAUUUAGCUCAGCGGCAUAAGCACCUGCCUUGGAAGCAGGCGGUCAUGAAUUUGAUCCCCA